rnacentral:rRNA from 1 species
GACAGAGGGUGCAAACGUUGUUCGGAAUCACUGGGCGUAAAGCGUGUGUAGGCGGUCUUGUAAGUCGGAUGUGAAAGCCCCGGGCUCAACCUGGGAAUGGCAUUUGAGACUGCAUGGCUAGAGUGUGUCAGAGGGGGGUAGAAUUCCACGUGUAGCAGUGAAAUGCGUAGAUAUGUGGAGGAAUACCGAUGGCGAAGGCAGCCCCCUGGGAUAACACUGACGCUCAAGCACGAAAGCGUGGGGAGCAAACAGG